UUACGGUCAUAUCACGGUGAAACACUGGUUCCCGUAAUUUCGCUGAAGUUAAGCAACGUCGAGAUUGGUCAGUACCUAGAUGAGUGACCGCUUGGGAAUACCAG